rnacentral:tRNA from 1 species
GCGAGGAUGGCGAAAUUGGCAGACGCGCUGGAUUUAGGUUCCAGUGGGUAAAACCGUGGGGGUUCAAGUCCCCCUCUUCGCAC